rnacentral:rRNA from 1 species
UACGUAGGGUGCAAGCGUUGUUCGGAUUUACUGGGCGUAAAGGGCGCGCAGGCGGCUCACUUUGUCAGGCGUGAAAGCCCCGGGCUCAACCUGGGAAUUGCGCUUGAAACGGGUGGGCUAGAGAUCGGGAGAGGAGAGUGGAAUUCCCAGUGUAGAGGUGAAAUUCGUAGAUAUUGGGAAGAACACCGGUGGCGAAGGCGGCUCACUGGUCCGGUACUGACGCUGAGGUGCGAAAGCGUGGGGAGCAAACAGG